AUGUUCUUCAAUCAAUCAAAGUCCGAUAAGAGUGACCGACGCUCCGCCCGAUCCGGAAGCUUCAAUCAGCACCGAGUCACGCUCACUCCUCAACAUCUUCACCUCUGUUCCCUCCUCAAAAUAGAUUCAUCUCUACUUCAAUCUCCACCAAGAAAGAGGAAUAUCCAAGAACUAGUGCUUCACCGUUUGUUCUUUUCUAGUUUCUUCACG